rnacentral:lncRNA from 1 species
AUGUUCAGACAAUGAGUUUGUUUGAAAUAGCUCAAUUACGAGUGUGUGUGGGUGUGUGUGUUUUCCCUCUUUAAAGGUAGUGGAAUGUGUUUAGACAGUGAGUUAGUUCAAAGAAGCUCAAUUUGUGUUUGUUUUUGUCCUCUCGUAAAAAGGUGGUGAAAGUUGUACUAUGUAUGCGUUCGAGAAGCAUGUCGUGUAACACUAACAAGUUUACGGAAUUUAUUAAAUUUUGACAGGAUAGAAGCCAAGGGCACGGGGAUCUUGCAACACCAUCAAGUCAUUGCUGAGUUCGAGGAAAUUCCCGAGGAGAGCAGACAGAAGCUUAUUGAUGGUGCCUUUGGAGAAGUUUUGAGGUCUACUCAGGUAACGAGCUUCUUUUGAGCUUUCAAUUGAAGGUUUUUAGCUAUGAUUUGUGGGGUUUGUUUUGUUGGUUUUCUCAUUUCAUUGUUUCUUCUCUUUAUAUGUUGUAGGAAGCCAUAGUUUUGCCACCAUGGGUUGCUCUGGCUGUUCGUCCAAGGCCUGGUGUCUGGGAGUACCUGAGAGUGAAUGUGCACGCU